rnacentral:rRNA from 1 species
CCUGGCUCAGGACGAACGCGGCGGCGUGCCUAAUACAUGCAAGUCGAGCGGAUUUAUCCUUCGGGAUAAGUUAGCGGCGGACGGGUGAGUAACACGUAGGUAACCUGCCUAUAAGAUCGGGAUAACUAUCGGAAACGAUAGCUAAGACCGGAUAACUGGUUUUCUCGCAUGAGAGAAUCAUGAAACACGGAGCAAUCUGUGGCUUAUAGAUGGGCCUGCGGCGCAUUAGCUAGUUGGUAAGGUAACGGCCCACCAAGGCGACGAUGCGUAGCCGACCUGAGAGGGUGAACGGCCACACUGGGACUGAGACACGGCCCAGACUCCUACGGGAGGCAGCAGUAGGGAAUCUUCCGCAAUGGACGCAAGUCUGACGGAGCAACGCCGCGUGAGUGAUGAAGGUUUUCGGAUCGUAAAGCUCUGUUGCCCUAGACGAACAGCAAGAGGAGUAACUGCCUUUUGUGUGACGGUAUAGGAGAAGAAAGCCCCGGCUAA